CAGGCUGCGAGAUCCGCUUGGCUGUGGCGAGUGUGCGCCCGGCCGCGCCCGCCACCGAAUGCCACUGCUGCGCCCGCUCACCGUCUUUUGCUUCCAGCCGUCAUCAUCCCACAUUACAGGUGGACAAGAUGUGUCUUGCAGCGUUGUUUGUGAGAGCAAAAGCCCACCUCAGUGUCCACCAGAAAGCGUCCACUGAGCCCGGAAGGAGACCAAUCCUCCCUGCAGACUAAAGAUACAUUUCAUUUGAAGUAUUCUGGAUGGAUGAAAACACUGAAUUGGUUCGGAAGAUCAAAGGGUGAUUAUGUUACAAGAUUAUUAUUCAAAUGAUGAAGUCCCCCUGAUCCUACAACGUACUAUUUGAUUUAUGGAAAUACAAUCUCUGUUCAGCUUUUUAGGAAGACAUUUGUUGCAUAAAACAAGACCACAUUUCACCACUUCAGAGCCCAUGGUGAUGCUAUUCUUCAUUGUAAGAUUACCAUCCUUCUGACCGCACAGUAGGCUUUUGAAUAUUUGCAUGGUUGAUUUAAACCCUGGAAUAAAUCUUCUGCUAAAUCUCAAGUUGGGGGCACCAGUUCUGCAGUUCUCUCUUUAUAGUUGUUAACAUGAAUUUUGAUGGCAUGGAAAAGCUUGUUCUCGAAUUAUAUUUAGCUCAUACAAACGCUACUGCACAAUUAUGUUGUAAGGAGGAAUUAGAUUUUAUCUUUAGGUUGUUAUUAUAGCCUUGUGAAAAGGUGAACAUUGAGAAUAACUAUAAAGUAGUAGCAUAUUGUAUUAUUCAUUAUGCUACUCUUUCUUUAAAAAAAAAACUGGGGUGCAGGGCCUGGAACAGACUGACACAUGUGGUAGGUGUAUCAGGUUGUGUAAAAGAAACAGAUGGUACUUUCAAAGUAGAUAAUAAGAGGAAGGAUUAAUUAAGGGGCUAUUUAUGAAGGUUUGGGUAGAGUGUAGGGAAUAGGGGUAAGGGGUGAGGAAUAGCUGGGGUCUUUACGAUUUCUAGAUCUGAAAGUUGAAGGGAGGGAGAAAUUCUAGAACCCAGAAAGAAAGCUGUGUGGAGAGGGUGCCUUGAUAGGGAGCAGUGACCUUUUAUCAAAAGACACAACCAACCUGAGGCGAUCUGGCAGGGAGGGAGCUGGGGGAAUAAAUACCUCACCUUCACUGUCCUUCUGCCCUGCAAUCUGCUGCUGCCACCUCCUGUGGGCUGUACCCAAAUGGAAGCUAGAGGACCAAGUCCAUGUGGUCCAUAUAGGUGAGCUCCCCAGGCCAGAGAGUGGGUCUGGAAGGACAAAAGGAAAAUAUCUGGUACAGGAGUUUUCUCCUGUGGCGCGGUGGGUUAAGGAUCCGACAUUGCCACCAUAGUGGCUCGGGUUGCUGCUGUGGUGGGGGAUUUGAUCCCUGGCCCGGAAGCUUCUGCAUGCCUUGGGUGAGUCCAAAAAUAAAAUAAAAAAUCUAGUACAGUGGGCUUCAUGUCCACAUUGGCUGAAAACUUGACAUUUAAA